UAGCUUAGUUGGUAGAGUGUAAGACUCUUAACCUUGUAGUUGUGGGUUCGAGACCCAC
rnacentral:tRNA from 1 species